UUAUUUUCAACAAGAAUUCUUUCUUUCUUUCUUUUUACCAAGUGUAUGAGAUGGGGGAUUCUUCAGCAGUAGAGCAAUCACUAGUACAAGGAUUUCGGAUAAAUUAAGCAACCUGCGGAUACAUAGCUCAUGGAUGUAUCUGAGAGGGGAGGAAUGUAUUCGAAAGGGGAAAGGCUAACUAAGGAUGUAUUCGAAAGGGGAAAGGCUAACUAAGGAUGUAUUCGAAAGGGGAAAGGCUAACUAAGGAUGUAUUCGAAAGGGGAAAGGCUAACUAAGGAUGUAUUCGAAAGGGGAAAGGCUAACUAAGGAUGUAUUCGAAAGGGGAAAGGCUAACUAAGGAUGUAUUCGAAAGAGGAUAGGGAUGUAUCGUGAGGGAAUUUUUGUAAUUUUUUUAACUAAUAGAAAAUUUUAAAGAUUAUGAUAUCUUAAGUUGUCUAUUUAUGUAAUAUUUUCUAUAUAUAAUUAUUUGGAGAUAUAGAUUUCAGGGCAGUACAAAAGGCAAAAGUAUAUAUCUAUUUACUAAAAAUAGUGCUAAAGUAGAGAACAUUUGUGACUUUACUGUUAUAGGGUAAAGUUAAUUUAUAAUAGUUAUCACAUAUAUAGUUGAGUUAUUUUAAUCUGAUGAAAUAAUAUUUUGCGUUUUUACUAUUUUAAUGAGUUAACUUCAACAAUAACAAUAAUAACAUACUGUGUAAUUUGUAUGAUGGUCUUUUAUGGACUUAUUUUAGAAGAAAAUUUUGACAAGCUUGUGAAGAUAAUUUAUUUUAAUUUUUUGGGUGCAAAAAAGAUAAAAUAUAUAAGCACAAGUUAUCUAUAUUGGUUACCAGUCGUUAUUUAUUUGACUAAUUGUUUAUUUAUGUGUUAGGAGUUAUUUUUAUGUUUUAAUUUAAAUAUAUGCAUCAAGAAAAAAUUUGGCAGAAGAAAAGUAUAUUAUAUAUGGAGAUUUGUUAAUAUAGACAUAGUUAUUGUUUAAUGCAGUGUUUAAGAUCUAAUAAGUAAAGUUUCAAUCUCAUCUCUUCUUCGUUUCUAUUAAUAAUCUCAUAAGUGGGAUAUGAGGGUACGUAUGAUAUAUACAGAUCUUAUUCUUAUCUUUAUUGUGAGAUUAGGAGAUUGUUUUCGAUAGAUUCUUUGACUCAAAAGAAGUGGAACCCCAAAACAGGAUAGAAAGGAAAAUAACGAUAAUAAAAUAACAAGAUAAACAAAUAAAAUAAAAUAAUAAAUAAUAAUAAUAAAAGUUGUAGAAUAAAAUACUAUGAGUACUAAAUAGAACUAUUAAUCCCCUGCCUCUCAACAUAAAAAUACCGCAACAGUCGAUUACCUACUACUCUUUUACCCUAAUUCUCAACAUUGGUAUUAUCGUAUAUUAUUUCUUAACUAGGAUAAGUACGCACCUUCGUAAUUUUACUUUGACAAAAUAGAGUUCUUUCAUUUUUUUGUUCUAAUAGACAAUGUUCAACAUUUUGGUGAGGUUCAAUCAGUUUAGUGUAAUAUAGUUCAUUUAAAAAUCACACAGAAUUGAGUUAUUUUAAUGUGAAAAAUAAUAAUAUUUCACCACUUCACAAAUAUAACGGGGUAAAGUUAAAUAACUUUAAUGUGGCAAAUUUUUGUGAUUUUUCAAUUAUAAUAAAGGGAUAAUACAUAAAUGUGUCCUUCUCUAAUUUUGGAUGUGCACAAGUUGAUAUUAAACUUGUAUAAAAUUGAAAAAAUAGACACAUUCGUCUUACGUGAUGAGUGUGUCUCCUGUUCAAUUUUAUACAAAUUUAUGUGUCUAUUUAUGGACACCCAAAGUUGAAGGACAUAAAUGUCAGCUGAAUUUAUGUUAAAAGACAUAUUUAUGUAUUAUGCUUAUACAAGGUCUAUAUAUAGACCAUAUAUGAAAUAAACCACCUGCACAAAAGAGUAAAAAUUGAUAAUAUAAUUAGGGACGAAUCUAGAAGUCCAGCCAUUAGAUUUUACUUAAAUAAUAUAUUUGUGACAAGAAAUUCAUUAUGUAUAAAUAAGUUUAGAACUCAAUUAUUAAUCUUUGAACUAGCCAUAUUAAAAUUUUGGCUCCACCUCUGAUUAUAGUACUAGUACUUUGUUUUAUCUACUUGAUCACUAAUUAUGAAAUCUUAUUUG